CAGAACGAACGCUGGCGGCAUGCCUAACACAUGCAAGUCGAACGAAGCCUUCGGGCUUAGUGGCGCACGGGUGCGUAACACGUGGGAAUCUGCCCUUCGGUUCGGAAUAACAGUUAGAAAUGACUGCUAAUACCGGAUGAUGACGUAAGUCCAAAGAUUUAUCGCCGAAGGAUGAGCCCGCGUAGGAUUAGGUAGUUGGUAGGGUAAUGGCCUACCAAGCCGACGAUCCUUAGCUGGUCUGAGAGGAUGAUCAGCCACACUGGGACUGAGACACGGCCCAGACUCCUACGGGAGGCAGCAGUGGGGAAUAUUGGACAAUGGGCGAAAGCCUGAUCCAGCAAUGCCGCGUGAGUGAUGAAGGCCUUAGGGUUGUAAAGCUCUUUUACCAGGGAUGAUAAUGACAGUACCUGGAGAAUAAGCUCCGGCUAACUCCGUG
rnacentral:rRNA from 1 species